UGGCAUCAUUUGAGAGCUCAUUUCUCUUAUUAUGUAAACAUAUCACACAUGCAGCAAUUUUCUAGAAUUAAAGGAGUUCAUAAGAAAAGUUGGCUGCAACUGUACGGAGAAAAUAGUGAAGGAUCUUUUUCCUCUUUCUCCUUUUAGUAACCCCUGAUGUGCAGCAUCUAAAUACUUAGUAGCAACAAUGAUUAUUUCCCUUUAGAGCAGCAACGUGCUAUACAAAUAUAGCAGCAACAUUAAUUCUCCUUUUGGGAUUAGUAACAAUGUUUCUUUCCAAUUUAGACUUUUAGCUAAACGAUUGUGUUUCUCAAGAAAGGUAGCAGCAACGUACUACUGUUUUCAUAAGCAGCAACUUGACGUUGCAUUUUACAGAUGAAAUGUAUAAUUUUUUCUCAAGAACAAUAUUCGGAUUCUAAGCACCGCUUCGAUCUCGUUGUUCCGAUUUGUCGUGUUGUUGAAUUCGAGCUUUCUUCAAAGUAGAGUAAGAUUGAAGAAGAGUAGUUCUUGUCAUAUAAGGUCGAGGAGCAGAUACGAGUUGAGUUCUUGAGCCGUUGAGCUAAGACCAGGUAGACAGGGAGACGACGCAGACCUUUAGGAGCUACCAGCAGAUUUGCAGAAGCACUCCAUUAUUCCAAAGGUUCUAAUCGGGUUAUACUUUUGUGUAUAUAUAUAUGUAUAAGUAUUUUGGGCACGACGGGGUCUUGUCCCGUCCAUAUGUCUAGUACUCUAGUAGAGGCUCGUAGAUACGUAUGUGUGGGUUAUAUGGUCUCACAAGGUCACUACUGUAUAUAUGCAGAUAUGUGUACAUUAUCUUUUGAUAG